GGAUUAGUGGCGAACGGGUGAGUAACACGUGAGUAACCUGCCCUCCACUUUGGGAUAACUCCGAGAAAUCGGGGCUAAUACUGGAUAUGACCUUGGCCCGCAUGGGUUGUGGUGGAAAGUUUUUCGGUGGGGGAUGGGCUCGCGGCCUAUCAGUUUGUUGGUGAGGUAGUGGCUCACCAAGGCGAUGACGGGUAGCCGGCCUGAGAGGGCGACCGGCCACACUGGGACUGAGACACGGCCCAG
rnacentral:rRNA from 1 species